rnacentral:rRNA from 1 species
UACAGAGGUCUCGAGUGUUAGGCGGAAUCACUGGGCUUAAAGCGUGUGUAGGUGGAUCGUUAAGUACCUUGUGAAAUCCCACGGCUUAACCGUGGAACUGCUUGGUAUACUGGCGGUCUUGAGCCAGCUAGGGGCUACCGGAACAAAUGGUGGAGCGGUGAAAUGCGUAGAUAUCAGGAGGAACACCUGUGGUGUAGACAGCUUACUGGACCAUUUCUGACGCUGAGACACGAAAGCGUGGGUAGCAAACAGG